AUGUUGAAGUAUUGGUGGAGUAGUUCCAUUGACAAACGAUCUCUACACUGGAUCUCGUGGGACAAACUCUCAUCACCAAAAGUCAAGGGAGGUAUGGGGUUUCGGGAUUUCGAACAAUUCAACCUAGCUUUGCUUGGGAAACAUGGCUGGAGGCUUGUCACACACCCCAACUCCCUUUGCUCAAGGGUCUUGAAGGGAAAGUAUUUCCCUAACUGUGAUUUCAUGGAUGCUACAGUGCCCAAGUCUGCUUCUACGACAUGGAAGGCUAUCAUUGCCGGU
rnacentral:rRNA from 1 species